rnacentral:rRNA from 1 species
CACUUAGAUGUUCUGGGCGGCCCGCGCACUACAAUGGCGCUUUCAGCGAGUUCCUAUGUUGAAUUUUCCUGGGUAUUCUUGGAAGCGGCGUCUUGACUUGGGAUAGAUCCUUGUAAUUGUUGGUUUUGAACGAGGAAUUCCUUGUAAUCGCGGUUGAUCAGCUCGCGUUGAAUACGUCCCUGCCCUUUGUACACACCGCCCGUCGCUCCUACCGAUGAAUCGUCCGGUGAAGUUCACAGAGUGGCGGUUCGUGGAGUUGCUCGCGAAGUGAAAUGGACCUCACGAUUUAGAGGAAGGAGAAGUCGUAACA